UUAAGCGACUAAGCGUACACGGUGGAUGCCCUGGCAGUCAGAGGCGAUGAAGGACGUGCUAAUCUGCGAUAAGCGUCGGUGAGGUGAUAUGAACCGUUAUAACCGGCGAUUUCCGAAUGGGGAAACCCAGUGUGUUUCGACACACUAUCAUUAACUGAAUCCAUAGGUUAAUGAGGCGAACCGGGGGAACUGAAACAUCUAAGUACCCCGAGGAAAAGAAAUCAACCGAGAUUCCCCCAGUAGCGGCGAGCGAACGGGGAGGAGCCCAGAGCCUGAAUCAGUGUGUGUGUUAGUGGAAGCGUCUGGAAAGGCGCGCGAUACAGGGUGACAGCCCCGUACACAAAAAUGCACAUAUUGUGAGCUCGAUGAGUAGGGCGGGACACGUGGUAUCCUGUCUGAAUAUGGGGGGACCAUCCUCCAAGGCUAAAUACUCCUGACUGACCGAUAGUGAACCAGUACCGUGAGGGAAAGGCGAAAAGAACCCCGGCGAGGGGAGUGAAAAAGAACCUGAAACCGUGUACGUACAAGCAGUGGGAGCCUCUUAAUGGGGUGACUGCGUACCUUUUGUAUAAUGGGUCAGCGACUUAUAUUCUGUAGCAAGGUUAACCGAAUAGGGGAGCCGAAGGGAAACCGAGUCUUAACUGGGCGUUAAGUUGCAGGGUAUAGACCCGAAACCCGGUGAUCUAGCCAUGGGCAGGUUGAAGGUUGGGUAACACUAACUGGAGGACCGAACCGACUAAUGUUGAAAAAUUAGCGGAUGACUUGUGGCUGGGGGUGAAAGGCCAAUCAAACCGGGAGAUAGCUGGUUCUCCCCGAAAGCUAUUUAGGUAGCGCCUCGUGAAUUCAUCUCCGGGGGUAGAGCACUGUUUCGGCAAGGGGGUCAUCCCGACUUACCAACCCGAUGCAAACUGCGAAUACCGGAGAAUGUUAUCACGGGAGACACACGGCGGGUGCUAACGUCCGUCGUGAAGAGGGAAACAACCCAGACCGCCAGCUAAGGUCCCAAAGUCAUGGUUAAGUGGGAAACGAUGUGGGAAGGCCCAGACAGCCAGGAUGUUGGCUUAGAAGCAGCCAUCAUUUAAAGAAAGCGUAAUAGCUCACUGGUCGAGUCGGCCUGCGCGGAAGAUGUAACGGGGCUAAACCAUGCACCGAAGCUGCGGCAGCGACACUAUGUGUUGUUGGGUAGGGGAGCGUUCUGUAAGCCUGUGAAGGUAGCCUGUGAGGGUUGCUGGAGGUAUCAGAAGUGCGAAUGCUGACAUAAGUAACGAUAAAGCGGGUGAAAAGCCCGCUCGCCGGAAGACCAAGGGUUCCUGUCCAACGUUAAUCGGGGCAGGGUGAGUCGAUCCCUAAGGCGAGGCCGAAAGGCGUAGUCGAUGGGAAACAGGUUAAUAUUCCUGUACUUGGUGUUACUGCGAAGGGGGGACGGAGAAGGCUAUGUUGGCCGGGCGACGGUUGUCCCGGUUUAAGCGUGUAGGCUGGUUUUCCAGGCAAAUCCGGAAAACCAAGGCUGAGGCGUGAUGACGAGGCACUACGGUGCUGAAGCGACAAAUGCCCUGCUUCCAGGAAAAGCCUCUAAGCAUCAGGUAACAUCAAAUCGUACCCCAAACCGACACAGGUGGUCAGGUAGAGAAUACCAAGGCGCUUGAGAGAACUCGGGUGAAGGAACUAGGCAAAAUGGUGCCGUAACUUCGGGAGAAGGCACGCUGAUAUGUAGGUGAAGCGACUUGCUCGUGGAGCUGAAAUCAGUCGAAGAUACCAGCUGGCUGCAACUGUUUAUUAAAAACACAGCACUGUGCAAACACGAAAGUGGACGUAUACGGUGUGACGCCUGCCCGGUGCCGGAAGGUUAAUUGAUGGGGUUAGCGGUAACGCGAAGCUCUUGAUCGAAGCCCCGGUAAACGGCGGCCGUAACUAUAACGGUCCUAAGGUAGCGAAAUUCCUUGUCGGGUAAGUUCCGACCUGCACGAAUGGCGUAAUGAUGGCCAGGCUGUCUCCACCCGAGACUCAGUGAAAUUGAACUCGCUGUGAAGAUGCAGUGUACCCGCGGCAAGACGGAAAGACCCCGUGAACCUUUACUAUAGCUUGACACUGAACAUUGAGCCUUGAUGUGUAGGAUAGGUGGGAGGCUUUGAAGUGUGGACGCCAGUCUGCAUGGAGCCGACCUUGAAAUACCACCCUUUAAUGUUUGAUGUUCUAACGUUGGCCCGUAAUCCGGGUUGCGGACAGUGUCUGGUGGGUAGUUUGACUGGGGCGGUCUCCUCCUAAAGAGUAACGGAGGAGCACGAAGGUUGGCUAAUCCUGGUCGGACAUCAGGAGGUUAGUGCAAUGGCAUAAGCCAGCUUGACUGCGAGCGUGACGGCGCGAGCAGGUGCGAAAGCAGGUCAUAGUGAUCCGGUGGUUCUGAAUGGAAGGGCCAUCGCUCAACGGAUAAAAGGUACUCCGGGGAUAACAGGCUGAUACCGCCCAAGAGUUCAUAUCGACGGCGGUGUUUGGCACCUCGAUGUCGGCUCAUCACAUCCUGGGGCUGAAGUAGGUCCCAAGGGUAUGGCUGUUCGCCAUUUAAAGUGGUACGCGAGCUGGGUUUAGAACGUCGUGAGACAGUUCGGUCCCUAUCUGCCGUGGGCGCUGGAGAACUGAGGGGGGCUGCUCCUAGUACGAGAGGACCGGAGUGGACGCAUCACUGGUGUUCGGGUUGUCAUGCCAAUGGCACUGCCCGGUAGCUAAAUGCGGAAGAGAUAAGUGCUGAAAGCAUCUAAGCACGAAACUUGCCCCGAGAUGAGUUCUCCCUGACUCCUUGAGAGUCCUGAAGGAACGUUGAAGACGACGACGUUGAUAGGCCGGGUGUGUAAGCGCAGCGAUGCGUUGAGCUAACCGGUACUAAUGAACCGUGAGGCUUAACCUU
rnacentral:rRNA from 2 species